GAUGAACGCUGGCGGCGUGCUUAACACAUGCAAGUCGAACGGAAAGGCCCAAGCUUGCUUGGGUACUCGAGUGGCGAACGGGUGAGUAACACGUGGGUGAUCUGCCCUGCACUUCGGGAUAAGCCUGGGAAACUGGGUCUAAUACCGGAUAGGACGAUGGUCUGGAUGCCAUUGUGGAAAGUUUUUUCGGUGUGGGAUGAGCUCGCGGCCUAUCAGCUUGUGGGUGGGGUAAUGGCCUACCAAGGCGUCGACGGGUAGCCGGCCUGAGAGGGUGUACGGCCACAUUGAGACUGAGAUACGGCCCAGACUCCUACGGGAGGCAGCAGUGGGGAAUAUUGCACAAUGGGCGCAAGCCUGAUGCAGCGACGCCGCGUGGGGGAUGACGGCCUUCGGGUUGUAAACUCCUUUCGCUAGGGACGAAGCGUUUUUGUGACGGUACCUGGAGAAGAAGCACCGGCUAACUACGUG
rnacentral:rRNA from 1 species